UACGUAAGGGUGCAAGCGUUGUCCGGAAUUAUUUGGGGCGUAAAAGGAGCUCGUAGGCGGUCUGUCGGACGUCGGCUGUGAAAUCCCGGAGCUCAACUCCGGGUCUGCAGUCGAUACGGGCAAACUGGGGUACUGCAGGGGAGACUGGAAUUCCUGGUGUAGCGGUGAAAUGCGCAGAUAAUCAGGAGGAACACCGGUGGCGAAGGCGGGUCUCUGGGCAAGCACAUGACGCUGGAGGAGCGAAAGCGUGGGGAGCGAACAGG
rnacentral:rRNA from 1 species